UACGUAGGUCCCGAGCGUUGUCCGGAUUUAUUGGGCGUAAAGCGAGCGCAGGUGGUUUAUUAAGUCUGGUGUAAAAGGCAGUGGCUCAACCAUUGUAUGCAUUGGAAACUGGUAGACUUGAGUGCAGGAGAGGAGAGUGGAAUUCCAUGUGUAGCGGUGAAAUGCGUAGAUAUAUGGAGGAACACCGGUGGCGAAGCGGCUCUCUGGCCUGUAACUGACACUGAGGCUCGAAAGCGUGGGGAGCAAACAGG
rnacentral:rRNA from 1 species